UACAGAGGGGGCAAGCGUUGUUCGGAAUUACUGGGCGUAAAGGGCGCGUAGGCGGCCUGUUAAGUUGGACGUGAAAUCCCUCGGCUCAACCGGGGAACUGCGUCCGAUACUGGCGGGCUUGAAUUCGGGAGAGGGAUGCGGAAUUCCAGGUGUAGCGGUGAAAUGCGUAGAUAUCUGGAGGAACACCGGUGGCGAAGGCGGCAUCCUGGACCGAGAUUGACGCUGAGGCGCGAAAGCCAGGGGAGCAAACGGG
rnacentral:rRNA from 1 species